rnacentral:rRNA from 1 species
UGGGGGAUAUUGCACAAUGGGCGAAAGCCUGAUGCAGCGACGCCGCGUGGGGGAUGAAGGCCUUCGGGUUGUAAACUUCUUUUGCUCUGAACAAGGCGCACCAUGGGGUGUGUUGAGUGGAGGGGUUGAUUAGCGCCGGCUAACUACGUGCCAGCAGCCGCGGUAAUACGUAGGGCGCGAGCGUUGUCCGGAAUUAUUGGGCGUAAAGGGCUUGUAGGUGGCUGGUUGCGUCUGUCGUGAAAGCUCAUGGCUUAACUGUGGGUUUGCGGUGGGUACGGGCUGGCUUGAGUGCAGUAGGGGAGGCUGGAAUUCCUGGUGUAGCGGUGGAAUGCGCAGAUAUCAGGAGGAAUACCGGUGGCGAAGGCGGGUCUCUGGGCUGUUACUGACACUGAGGAGCGAAAGCAUGGGGAGCGAACAGG